CCUGAUCACUGAUUGGUUCUCCUUAGGCUCCUCUUCAUCUUCCCAAGUUACUGUCCAGAUUCAUAGUCAAGGCUGCUCUUCCUUUCCAGCAACAGCCAGCCUGUUUCUUUACUAAAGUAGCCAAUCACACUCCAAAGGGAUCUUCUUGAUACUCCUUUGAUGCCUUAGGAUCAGAACCUUAUCCCUUCGUCCAGCACACUCUAAUGCUGCCCUAUUCUUGCACAGACUUAGUACAAGCUUCCCGAGAUGUCAGGCUGCGCCCUAUUUUCGCACCAACUUCAUAUCUUCUCAAAUGGUCGAGUUAUGCACUUUUGGGAUCGACCUGGUACGUACGGAUCCGUACGGUCCGUA
rnacentral:lncRNA from 1 species